AACCAGAGGCAAGUAAGCAAGAGAUCAGAUCACAGCAGAAGCCGCCGCUCACUUUAUAAGGAGGCACGAUCUCGCUCUCUUUGGGAUAGGGGGUGAGGUCUAGGGUUACCGUAGCUGUGGACCGGCAGGGCUUCGGGGCGGCUGCUGCGACGAGUGGGAUGGGCUCCUCGAAGAGCUCCUUCAGGAGGAGGCGGAGGGGCGCCGGCGACUGGAGCGGGCGCGGAGGUAACGGACCCAGAGGAAGGCGGCGGACCAGUGGCUGGUGGCGAAGGAGGCGGCGAAGGCGCGGGCGGUCGGCGGCGGAGAGGAUCCGUAGCAAAGAGUGGUUAGGGUGGCCAUGGACGGCGACGACGUCGACCGGGUCGGCGGCGUGGGUAGGCGGCGGCGCCGCUCGUGAAAGCGGCCGAGAGCGCGGCGGCUGAAGAGCACGAGGAAGGAGGGGAGGCGGCUCGCGACCGUGCACGCACUGGACGCCCUGCCGGCGCAGGAGGAGAGGCCGCAGGGUCUCCCCUCGUUUAAGACAACGGCGCUGAACCGGUCCCUGGACCGGCAGACACUAGGGGACAUGGCCGCGAUGUGGGAUGACGGACGGUAGGGGCUGCUGGAGCGGCGAAAUCGCGUCGUCAGCCUGUACCCCGUAAAGCUCGGGAAGGACCGAGGAGGCCGGCGGCUCCUACUCCUCCCGUAAAGUAAGUCCCAAUAAACGAACCGCGCGACGUGUCGAUCCGACCAGGAGGAGUAGAAGAGAAGUCCAAGUCCACUACCUGUCACCGCACGACAAUGUGAACUGUUAACCCAGUCAAACGAGCGUCCUAACCUGUUGGGCCGAGGUCAGUAGUUCGGUCUCAGCAGGAACACCGGCGCUUACGCGGUGAUACGUGUGCCUAUGAAGACAACCCGCAAAAUAGGCCGCUUGUUUUUGUUCAACUAGUACGAGCUGUGUGCGUCGUACCUAAAGAGACGACAGUUAGAGGGUGGAGCGUGGUCCUUAUGUGUCCAACGGUAAGACCUCCGUCCCCUUCCUUCCGAACCCUACAAAUAGUACUCAUAGACUGUGGACUUGAGUCCAUACGACACAACGUUUUACUACCUCCACCACGUUUGGUCACCGACAGUGUUCCUUCCAAGUCAAAUGGGCAUUUGAUAGCGAUAUACGAGCACCCACAUCGACCCCCUAUGAAUGAGUAUGUUACCUAAGGCCUUGGACCCAUAACGUCUCUGGGAAGCCGUCUUCACUAUCUGAGCCUUCAAAAUUGAGACCUAGAUUCCUGAAAUGUCGAACUCACCAAGAACUGUAGAGUCAAGUCGUUGUAUCCAAGAGUAAACAAACGGCCAAAGGGUGGUAGGAACAGAGGUGGUAGAGAAGUUGUACCAUUGGGACGAGAGUCAUAAACGUAUGAACAUGAAACGUGAGAUAUCCUGAAACGGUAUAAAUAUAUAAUACGUCCAUAAUGAUCACACGAUACAGUCAUUAUUAACAAAAUCGUUCGACAAUAGGUACGUUAACUUUUCGACACCUUGAAUCCUGUAGUUCUUCAUACACAAAGAGUAGAACCCCGAUAUGAGCAGUAAUAUGACUCUGAUAGCAUUCUUAUUUCGUUUCGUCCUGGUAUUACAAGACAAUACGACCUAAACCCGAACAUAAUCGAUGAAAGAAACUUCAAUUAAUAAAACGGAACAUUGAACGUACGAACAUACCAGUAACAGUAAGGGUUAACUAACGUAAAGCAUCAUAGAAAGAUUAUUAUAAUAUAAAGACUUUUGUGGGUCAUAAAAAGAAUUACAACCAAGUCUACACUGCUUGCGGAGGUUAAGACUAUAGCUACGGCGACCCUCUACUUUGGAACUAAAGACUCCAUAUCUCGUCGUUGAACCUCGUAAUACAUGACCUUGGUAGUCCGAAAGGAAUACGUCUACGCUGCUUCCGGAGGUCAAGACUAUAGCUACGGCGACCCUCUACUUUAGAACUGCAGACUCAAUAACUCGUCGUUGAACUUCGUAAUACAUGACCUCAGUAGUCCAAGACCAUAAUCGUCAUAGUCUGUAGACACCUCUACAUCCGAAAAGAAAAGUCCGAACAAACGCCACGACUCGCAACACGUCGAGCCACGAACAAAAGUAUACAAAACUCUCUUAUCAACACUAUUAGAUCGUUUAAACAAAGCGUUUAGCUUGGUCUUAAUCCGUUAAAGUCAGCAGAUUUUGGAGACAAGGAAGUAUAGUCUAUGCGUUACACUGAUCUCAGUCUCAUACCGAACUCCGUCUCACAUAUGUACCAACGUUUAGCCAAGAUGAUAGAGGCAACGAAAAACAUUCUUAAACACGUUCUCUAUGUAUGCACGUACCGAAGCAGAAUGUUUGUCCUUGUCUAAAUGGCGUUUUACAAGAGAGCCUGAAUUUUCUUAGAUGUAUAAGACAAACUACUUCAGAUCCAACUCGCACAGCGCGUGUUACUCCUUGUACGACUGGUACUCGUGGUCGUUAUAGGGGCUGCUGUAAUAGGAGGCGAGCUAGAGUGCACCCUAGAAGACGGGCGGCGCCCGGCGGAGGUCUUCCUAGUCGCGGUCGCAGGGCGGCAGGUUGCGGCCGUCGCCGUCGUCCAACUAGCGGCGCUCCAACUCCAACUACUAGCGGCGCUUGACCUUGUCGGGCAGCCGCGAGCUGGAGCGGUGGAGGCGCGGCUGCCGCUAAUACCGGUGGCCCGGGCUGUGGAAGAGGCGGCAGACGCUCUUCAACUCCUUGCAGACGGCCUCGGGCAGCUCGUGGCGGGGCGGGUCGCGGGACUUGAGCGCGUGCCGCUCCUGCCACCGGAGCCUGCGCAAGGAACCCACGUGCGCGCACCGGGCCAUCAACCCGCUCUCGACGUGCGGCUACGCGGGGCAGGGCAGCUGCGAGCACAGGCCGUGCUGCCACUCCAGCUCCUUGACGACGAACAGGGGCCGGCGUCCGGGCCGAGAACUGUGGAACUCCUCCUGGAAGAACAACCCCGACCUAAACUACUCCAGCUGGUCCCGGCCGUGCCUGCCCAGGCCGCGCCGCGGCCCCUGCCGCUCCUACUGUAGCGGCCGCUCGUCGGGCCUCGCGCGCCGCCGCCUCGGCCCGUGCUGCAGCCCCUGCUCCUGCGGCCUCUCGUCGCGGACCUGCCCCUGCGGCUGCCACUGGCGGACCCGCAUCUACUACUCCUUCCGCUUCUACUCCAACCGCUACUGGGGGCGCCUCUGCUGCUCCUCCGCCAGGCCCUGCCCCGCCAACGCCUCCUCCAGCCCCAGCAGCCCGCGCUUCGGCCUGAGCCCCAGCAGCAGCCCCUUCGGCUGCAUCGGCGGCUCGCCCUACCGGGCCUCGCGCAUGAGCUGCCGCGGCUCCGCCUUCGACCGCUC
rnacentral:rRNA from 1 species